GACCAUCUGGAGUAUUCGCCAGUUUAUGCAUUACCUGAGCUGAUAAUAUACUUUAGGGUAUGCGAUCUAUCCGCUUGGUGUGCAAGCCUGCAUCUUUGGAUGAAUCAGGAAGCCUGUAGAGCGGUUGCCAUACCCACCCUGAACGUUUCAGUUCAUGGGUUCACAUAGACAGCGGUACUCUGGAGCUGUA
rfam:Moraxella atlantae strain CCTG 59586 contig_37, whole genome shotgun sequence.